rnacentral:rRNA from 1 species
ACCAAAGGGCCAGCCAAAGUUUUCGCGAGGGACAGCAAUCCCAUAAACCGUGGCUCAGUUCAGAUCGUAGGCUGCAACUCGCCUACGUGAAGGAGGAAUCGCUAGUAAUCGCAGGUCAGCAUACUGCGGUGAAUACGUUCCCGGGCCUUGUACACACCGCCCGUCACACCAUGGAAGUUGGCCACGCCCGAAGUCGUUACUCCAACCCUCUGGGAGGAGGACGCCGAAGGUGGGGCUGAUGACUGGGGUGAAGUCGUAACAAGGUAGCCGUACCGGAAGGUGCGGCUGGAUCACCUCCUAA